rnacentral:rRNA from 1 species
AUUGAACGCUGGCGGCAUGCCCUACACAUGCAAGUCGAACGGUAACGCGGGGCAACCUGGCGACGAGUGGCGAACGGGUGAGUAAUGCAUCGGAACGUGCCCGGUAGUGGGGGAUAACUGCUCGAAAGAGCAGCUAAUACCGCAUACGACCUGAGGGUGAAAGGGGGGGAUCGCAAGACCUCUCGCUAUCGGAGCGGCCGAUGUCGGAUUAGCUAGUUGGUGGGGUAAAGGCCCACCAAGGCAACGAUCCGUAGCUGGUCUGAGAGGACGACCAGCCACACUGGGACUGAGACACGGCCCAGACUCCUACGGGAGGCAGCAGUGGGGAAUUUUGGACAAUGGACGCAAGUCUGAUCCAGCCAUGCCGCGUGCGGGAAGAAGGCCUUCGGGUUGUAAACCGCUUUUGUCAGGGAAGAAAUCUUCUGGGUUAAUACCUCGGGAGGAUGACGGUACCUGAAGAAUAAGCACCGGCUAACUACGUGCCAGCCGCCGCCGUAAGAC